AGGAGGAGACGGCGUUGUAAGAUUGUCAAUUUAUUGUGUUUAUAAUCACGAAGGAUGGCGAUUUUGUUUUUUCUUUGCAGGGCUCGUCUUCUCUUUUUGGUUGCGUUGGAUCACCAGUUGGCUGUGUUUGUUGAGGUUUUGGCGUCUCUAGUGUAGGCGCUCGUCGAUCUGAGGGAAUUUAAGAGUAGCGGAUGGAUAGAUUCUGCAGCUCCGCGCUAAGUGCCCUGAGCGAAGCGUAGGCAGCUUAUAUGGCCCGUCUAUUGCAGUGCAGCACUGCAAGUAGAUUGCAUCGGUGAUAAGAGAUACUAAUCGGGAAACGUGUGGCAAGAAAGUUCAGGAUCAGCUGGAAUGCGUUGUCUUGGGCUUGUUUAUCCAGGCGCGUUGAGAUAAAUUAGGCUGCGUCGAGGAAGGUGAUGACAGUGGAAGAAUUUGUAAGCAGACAGACGUGCGCUUUUCCAUCGGAUAGAUAUAUUAUUUAAAUAGAAAUAAGUAGAUGUAGAUUUAGUUGGAUGUGUCCAUGUCCAGCUUAUUGUUUAUUCCUUGAGUGAUUAAGGCCAUUAAAAUGUCAAUUUUCUUUUCUAA